rnacentral:rRNA from 1 species
AUUGAACGCUGGCGGCAGGCCUAACACAUGCAAGUCGAACGAGUGGCGGACGGGUGAGUAAUGUCUGGGAAACUGCCCGAUGGAGGGGGAUACCUACUGGAAACGGUAGCUAAUACCGCAUACCAUCGGAUGUGCCCAGGUGGGCUUAGCUUUUAGGUGAGGUAACGGCUCACCUAGGCGACGAUCCCUAGCUGGUCUGAGAGGAUGACCAGCAACAGUGGAACUGAGAGGCGGUGCAGACUCCUACGGGAGGCAGCAGUGAGGAAUAUUGCACAAUGGGCGCGAGCCAGAUGCAGCCAUGGCGCGUGUAUGAAGAAGGCCUUCGGGUUGUAAAGUACUUUCAGCGGGGAGGCGUUACCCGAAGAAGAAGCACCGGCUAACUCCGUGCCAGCAGCCGCGGUAAUAC